GAUGAACGCUGGCGGCGUGCCUAAUACAUGCAAGUCGAGCGAACAGACGAGGAGCUUGCUCCUCUGACGUUAGCGGCGGACGGGUGAGUAACACGUGGAUAACCUACCUAUAAGACUGGGAUAACUUCGGGAAACCGGAGCUAAUACCGGAUAAUAUAUUGAACCGCAUGGUUCAAUAGUGAAAGACGGUUUUGCUGUCACUUAUAGAUGGAUCCGCGCCGCAUUAGCUAGUUGGUAAGGUAACGGCUUACCAAGGCAACGAUGCGUAGCCGACCUGAGAGGGUGAUGGGCGAAACUGGAACUGGGACACGGUCCAGGCUCCUACGGGAGGCAGCAGUAGGGAAUGUUACGCAAUGGGCGGAAGCCUGACGGAUCAACGCCGCGUGAGUGAAGAAGGUCUUCGGAUCGUAAAACUCUGUUAUUAGGGAAGAAAAAAUGUGUAAGUAACUAUGCACGUCUUGACGGUACCUAAUCAGAAAGCCACGGCUAACUACGUG
rnacentral:rRNA from 1 species